UGUGUUCAUGAUGAAUCAAUGCACCACACUGACUGUGAUGACUGAAGUAUUCUGAAACACA
rnacentral:snoRNA from 1 species